rnacentral:rRNA from 1 species
UGAUUUAGCGGCGGACGGGUGAGUAACACGUGGGCAACCUGCCCUGUAGAUUGGGAUAACUCCGGGAAACCGGGGCUAAUACCGAAUAAUCCAUUUCCUCACAUGGGGAGAUGUUAAAAGACGGUUUCGGCUGUCACUACAGGAUGGGCCCGCGGCGCAUUAGCUAGUUGGUGAGGUAACGGCUCACCAAGGCGACGAUGCGUAGCCGACCUGAGAGGGUGAUCGGCCACACUGGGACUGAGACACGGCCCAGACUCCUACGGGAGGCAGCAGUAGGGAAUCUUCCACAAUGGACGAAAGUCUGAUGGAGCAAUGCCGCGUGAGUGAAGAAGGUUUUCGGAUCGUAAAACUCUGUUGUGAGGGAAGAACAAGUACGAGAGUAACUGCUCGUACCUUGACGGUACCUCAUUAGAAAGCCACGGCUAACUACGUGCCAGCAGCCGCGGUAAUACGUAGGUGGCAAGCGUUGUCCGGAAUUAUUGGGCGUAAAGCGCGCGCAGGCGGUCCUUUAAGUCUGAUGUGAAAUCCCACGGCUCAACCGUGGAAGGUCAUUGGAAACUGGGGGACUUGAGUACAGAAGAGGAAAGCGGAAUUCCAAGUGUAGCGGUGAAAUGCGUAGA